AAAUGAAGACGAAUCUCUCGGUGCAGCUACCUGUGUGAUUGAGUUCCUCUAUCAUGAGUCUUGACUGAAUUAGGGUUAAGGUGAACUCAUCAAAUCCAACAUCAGUCAUAUGAAUCAAUCGAUCGAUCCGAGUCCGAUGUGAAAUCCCAAUGGAAAAUUUUUUUUUCAUUAUUUCACUCUGCCAUGACCAUGGGCUUAAGGACUCGAUCUUUCGAU
rnacentral:lncRNA from 1 species